rnacentral:rRNA from 1 species
AACAGGAUUAGAUACCCUGGUAGUCCAUGCCGUAAACGAUGUCUACUAGCCGUUGGGGCCUUUGAGGCUUUAGUGGCGCAGCUAACGCGAUAAGUAGACCGCCUGGGGAGUACGGUCGCAAGACUAAAACUCAAAUGAAUUGACGGGGGCCCGCACAAGCGGUGGAGCAUGUGGUUUAAUUCGAUGCAACGCGAAGAACCUUACCUGGUCUUGACAUAGUAAGAACUUUCCAGAGAUGGAUUGGUGCCUUCGGGAACUUACAUACAGGUGCUGCAUGGCUGUCGUCAGCUCGUGUCGUGAGAUGUUGGGUUAAGUCCCGCAACGAGCGCAACCCUUUUCCUUAUUUGCCAGCGGGUUAAGCCGGGAACUUUAAGGAUACUGCCAGUGACAAACUGGAGGAAGGCGGGGACGACGUCAAGUCAUCAUGGCCCUUACGACCAGGGCUACACACGUGCUACAAUGGUCGGUACAAAGGGUUGCUACCUAGCGAUAGGAUGCUAAUCUCAAAAAGCCGAUCGUAGUCCGGAUUGGAGUCUGCAACUCGACUCCAUGAAGUCGGAAUCGCUAGUAAUCACGGAUCAGAAUGCCGCGGUGAAUACGUUCCCGGGCCUUGUACACACCGCCCGUCACACCAUGGGAAUUUGUUGCACCAGAAGUAGGUAGUCUAACCGCAAGGAGGACGCUUACCACGGUGUGGCCGAUGACUGGGGUGAAGUCGUAACAAGGUAACC